GAUGAACGCUGGCGGCGUGCCUAAUACAUGCAAGUCGAGCGAACGGACGAGAAGCUUGCUUCUCUGAUGUUAGCGGCGGACGGGUGAGUAACACGUGGAUAACCUACCUAUAAGACUGGGAUAACUUCGGGAAACCGGAGCUAAUACCGGAUAAUAUUUUGAACCGCAUGGUUUAAAAGUGAAAGACGGUCUUGCUGUCACUUAUAGAUGGAUCCGCGCUGCAUUAGCUAGUUGGUAAGGUAACGGCUUACCAAGGCAACGAUGCAUAGCCGACCUGAGAGGGUGAUCGGCCACACUGGAACUGAGACACGGUCCAGACUCCUACGGGAGGCAGCAGUAGGGAAUCUUCCGCAAAGGGCGAAAGCCUGACGGAGCAACGCCGCGUGAGUGAUGAAGGUCUUCGGAUCGUAAAACUCUGUUAUUAGGGAAGAACAUAUGUGUAAGUAACUGUGCACAUCUUGACGGUACCUAAUCAGAAAGCCACGGCUAACUACGUG
rnacentral:rRNA from 1 species